AUCGGUUCUCGGCUCUCUGAGCUAAGAUCAUGUAUAGUAUCUGUUCUUUGCAGUGUAGUUUCUUUCUGCAACAGUCCCUAAUUUGGGACCAAUAAAAUUACCUGUACUUUUCCUAAAAUUACCUGUGCUUUUCCAACUGGGACGGGUGCUGUGAGCUUGCUCAAUCCCGUCCACGGGUCGGCCUCGUAUUGCAUUACCUCGAGGAUUGGCCCAUUAAUA
rnacentral:snRNA from 1 species